rnacentral:misc_RNA from 1 species
GUUCCGUAGGUGAACCUGCGGAAGGAUCAUUAAUGAGUUGUCAUGGGGUUCGAUGCUGGCAGCCAGUUUUUGGAUGCAUGUGCUUGCCCUAACAAUCAUCUUCUUCCAAACACCUGUGCACAUUUUUGAGGGAGUCUUGAGUUGGUUGCCGCUCUUGGGUGAUUUUCUCACAUUCCCUUAAAUCAUUAUACGCUAUUAACAAUGUUGAACGUGCUCUGUGCCGCAAGGCCAUUAAUAUAAUACAACUUUUAACAACGGAUCUCUUGGCUCUC